GAGUAACUUGUGCUAGUUUUGCUGAGAAAUACUCUUUCUACUUUCAUGAAGUUGAGGAAGUUUUCCUCAGAAGCCAUGGCUGUAAGCUGACAGAUGGCUGAAGAUUGCGGAUGUUUACUUCCUGAGAUGAUUUGAAUAUGGAGUUCUGUCAUUCUGUUGGCUUCCAAAAACGCAUGAAAUGGAUGGUUAUAAGGGCAAUCUACUUAAUUCAUCUUUGUUAACAUGUCUCUCUAUCAAACCAUUAAACUAUGCCGUACAAUGGCUUGUCCGUGUGGGCCUAUAUAUGAUGGAAUUGCCAUGUAACACCAGUGAAAUACCUGUAAGAGUGGGUAGCAGUGUUCGUACGUGUGCAUGAAUCACAUACGUUCAUCUCUAUCUGCAAUAAAGUGGUCCAAUACUCAUGCAGGUGGAAACAGUCCCCGCAGAACAGGAAGCUCCUGCCCAUGACGUAGAGGAGGUGGUGGUCAAGGAAGAGACCCCAGCUGCCGUUGCUGAUGAAGCCAAAGUAGAAGUGGAAGCAGCCCAACCCGCCAUCGAAGUGGUGGAAUCCGAGGAGAAACCUGCAGAAGAGGAGAAAGCAGAAGAAGUCGUAGUUGCCGAGGAGGUCACAGAGGAAACCAAGCCAGACACAGAACUGGCAGCACCUGAUGCAACUCCAGAAGAAACCACAGCUCCAGCUACUGAGGAGACAGUGGAGUCUCCUGAAGCUGAAGCCGCCGUCGAAGAAGAAGAGGCGGCGCCUACUGCAGUUGAGGAAACCAAGGUCGAAGUGGAGACCCCCG
rnacentral:lncRNA from 1 species